CAAUAGCGUAUAUUAAAGUUGUUGCGGUUAAAAAGCUCGUAGUUGGAUUUCUGCCGAGGACGACCGGUCCGCCCUCCGGGUGAGUAUCUGGCUCGGCCUGGGCAUCUUCUUGGAGAACGUAGCUGCACUUGGCUGUGUGGUGCGGUAUUCAGGACUUUUACUUUGAGGAAAUUAGAGUGUUUCAAGCAGGCACACGCCUUGAAUACAUUAGCAUGGAAUAAUAAGAUAGGACCUCGGUUCUAUUUUGUUGGUUUCUAGAUCUGAGGUAAUGAUUAAUAGGGAUAGUUGGGGGCAUUCGUAUUUAACUGUCAGAGGUGAGAUUCUUGGAUUUGUUAAAGACGGACUACUGCGAAAGCAUUUGCCAAGGAUGUUUUCAUUGA
rnacentral:rRNA from 1 species